GCCGCGGUAGCCAAGGUGGUCACGGCACGGGUCUGAAAAACCUGGGAUUCCGGUUCAACUCCGGACCGCGGCACAA
rnacentral:tRNA from 1 species